rnacentral:siRNA from 1 species
CAUUAUCACUCUAUGGGCCGGG